rnacentral:rRNA from 1 species
UACGUAGGGUCCGAGCGUUGUCCGGAGUGACUGGGCGUAAAGCGCGCGCAGGCGGCCCGCGAGGUGUCCCUGUGAAAGCCUCGUGCUCAACGCGGGAGGGUCAGGGCAAACCGGCGGGCUUGAGGCCGGUAGAGGUGGGUGGAACUCCUGGUGGAGUGGUGAAAUGCGUAGAGAUCAGGAAGAACACCCGUGGCGAAGGCGGCCCACUGGGCCGGACCUGACGCUGAGGCGCGAAGGCGUGGGGAGCGAACGGG